rnacentral:rRNA from 1 species
AUUGAACGCUGGCGGCAUGCCUUACACAUGCAAGUCGAACGGCAGCACGGGAGCAAUCCUGGUGGCGAGUGGCGAACGGGUGAGUAAUAUAUCGGAACGUGCCCAGUCGUGGGGGAUAACGUAGCGAAAGCUACGCUAAUACCGCAUACGAUCUAUGGAUGAAAGCGGGGGAUCGCAAGACCUCGCGCGAUUGGAGCGGCCGAUAUCAGAUUAGGUAGUUGGUGAGGUAAAGGCUCACCAAGCCGACGAUCUGUAGCUGGUCUGAGAGGACGACCAGCCACACUGGGACUGAGACACGGCCCAGACUCCUACGGGAGGCAGCAGUGGGGAAUUUUUGGACAAUGGGCGCAAGCCUGAUCCAGCAAUGCCGCGUGCAGGAUGAAGGCCUCGGUU